rnacentral:lncRNA from 1 species
GCGGUUCAAAAGGAACUGCGGCCUAUAAGUUUGUUUAAAUUGCAAAAAUGCCACCGCCUUUACAUAUACUGCGGUUUUCUCAAAACCGAGACGUAUUACCCGCGGUCUUUUUCACAUUUUGCACUAGUGUCAAGGUCUAUAAAUAGAGAGCCAGGGCCACAAGACAGGUACCUUCAAAUCAUCUUUCAAUCACACUUCAUUCACAUUCUACUCAUGCUUCAUUCACAC